rnacentral:tRNA from 1 species
GGAGGGAUGCCCGAGCGGCCAAAGGGGCCAGGCUGUAAACCUGGUGGGCGCCGGCCCUUCGGAGGUUCGAAUCCUCCUCCCUCCACCA